rnacentral:tRNA from 1 species
GGGGCUGUAGCUCAGUGGCAGAGCGCUCACCUAGCAUGUGCGAGGCCCUGGGUUUGAUCCUCAGCACCA